CAGUGAAUUCCUUGCGACCCUUACCCAGGGAAAAGAGCCCUGGUGCAUAGUGGCUGCCCACAGGGGUACUGACCACAAGGUGUGCAAUUUGGAACCACCAGCGGCGCUGCAGGAGACAGCAAACCUUCGGACCCCAUGAUGACCUCCUGCUAGUGGCCCCCCAUCUGGAUGACAUGUCUCUGCCUUUGUCCCGUUUAAGACUUAAUAAAUGUUCUGCCUAAAUUACACUUGA